GAUGAUGACGUAAUUAAUGAAAUUUUUGUUCAAAGGAAAUUUUAUUCUGUUAAAUCAGCAGUUGGUGUGAAAAGCUCGGAAACAAGUCUCAAAGUUGAUGAUCGUAUAACUGACUUGCAAUGAUGAUUCGUAUUGACCCCUUAACUUACGUACUCGACCAGGACGUUCAUCCUAACUCUUUGACUAUACUCUUAUCAUCAUCCUUCUUCUUUUAAUAGAAAUCUAUUAAGGGCGUAUCAUAAUGGUGUCUACUUUCAAUUAAUUUGGCUGAGAGUCUACAUAGUUUACAUAUGUAACAAAGCGCAACAACAAUUCUAAAGAGAUUCAUUAGGUUGAUGAUAUUAUCAACGCUAGCAACAAUUCUCUAACUGUUAAUGAUCUGAAGAUUCAGCUACAGUCUCAUUUCAAGCUUCAUGCCUUAAGUUCUUUCAAAUACUUUUUUUUGUCUCAAAAUUGUUAGAACUUCUUAAAGAAUCUCUGUUUCUCAGCGCCUUUUUGUUUUUGUGAUUGAUAUAUACACAAGAAUAAUUCUUGUCGAUCGGCUUACUAGAAUCCUCUGUGCUCAAAUUAUCUCACCUUGCUUUCUCUCCAAGCUUUAAAGGGACGAGUUUCGUGUGAGGUUUUAUGAAGAGUUUCCUGACACGACAGGCGUGGGAGAUUGUGCGUUAGCUGCUGGAAAUGCGUGGAGGUCGAUGACUGAUUCUGAGAAUGCUCCUUAUUUCGCCAUGGCAGACAGAGGAGCCAUGUAUAGACCUCCUUGGGCAGGACCAUGCAACUGCAAUGGAGCUAUUAGUUUCGUUUUUGGCUAAAGAUGAAUCAGCAAUUAGCCAUUAGUUAUUGUAUGUAUGCCUUGAGAAUUAGCUCUGGAAACCCUUUAAGCUUUAACCUUCCUUUCUACUAUUUUGUGAUGAUAACUAUGUGUUUCUGCACGCUUUAAACUUCCGCCACCCGGGUUCGAUUCGCGCUGGGAGAGACUAUUUACAUCGCUUGGAUUCCCGGCAAAGAGAUGCAGAGCUGCAGGGAAGAAAAUUGAGGAGAAGAAGUUCACAUGUGAACCUGGUGGUAUUUUUUGCGCAGUAUGCAACUCUUAUUCUUGAGACGGCACACACAUUGAAGAUGGUGAUUUAACUACGCAUCUCACGAGUGAAACACAUGAACUGGAAAUGUUUGGGAACUCCUCUAAGAAUCUAUUUGAGCUCAACUUGAGUUUAGCGUACAAGUGGGGUGCUUACCGUAAUAUACCUUAAGAAAAAAUGAAUCACCUUUUGAGGAAUCACCCUUAGAAUCAACCAGAGGUUUCUUUUUCUUUUUUCCCCAAAAACAAUGAACCUUUGUUCCUAAAUUUUGAAUUUGAUUUUGGUUGGUGAAGAUGAAGAAAGAGGAAAAAUAAGAAGAGGAAGAUGAUUAAGUUGAAGACAACCGAAUGAGCCUCGCUUUGAGCUUCUUUUUAUUAUAUUUUUUUUAUCAUGUUUUUGCGCUACUUUGUGUUUUAUUAUAUGUUUGGUGGAAAUUAGUCCAAUACACUGGAUGUAAUACUGGAUUUUGUGUUCUUUCAUUUUGUUUAGUUUGAUUUUGUUCCUCAAGCUGUUUCUCCUGCCCAACCUCUCUCUAUUUUGUUGCUCAUCCAGCCUUCUCAAUGUUGGACCAACUCCAAAACCUCAUGAACUUGUCACAGUUUUACUCUGUCUGUCUUUUGCUCAAAUUUAGAAUGAAGUAAAAUAUAUUAAAAAUCAUUUUUAAUAUAGACAUGCAUUGUUUUUAGAGUGAGUAAAUCUACAGUUCUAGUUAAAAUUGUGUCUUGUUUGAUAACUAGCCACACCACAUGAGGUUUGGACAAAAUUGGUUUGUUUGAUAUCAAAAGACUACAUCUGCUCCACUUCCCGUUACUUCAUCUGAGGUCUAGUUUAGUGGUAUUCAGGGAGCCUCGUUGUGGAAGAAGUGCCCUCUUUGAUGAUAUUGAGGAGGGAGGAGCCAAAGCUGCUUAUUCUUACAGCUUUCAUGAAAUCAAUGCAAGACAUAGUUAAGCCUCCUCUUUCUGUUUUUUUUCAAAACGUGUGGUGUUUCUCUGUGAAUGAAAUGACCAGGCAUAAUGAGGAAACACUUCAUAUGUCCUUCAAUCAGAAAUAAAAAGCUAAAAUAUCCUUCUUCUAAACUGAAUUUUGUUUUUAUUUAUUUUUAAUUUUGAAAAUCAAUGAAUUACAUAUUUACCCCUAAACCUAAUCUUUCGUAUUUGUCAAACAUGUCUACUUUUCUUAUUUCUCAUUUCUUUCUUCUUCUUCCUUCUUUUUCUAUGCCGAAACUUCUCUUCCUUUUUUUUCUUCUCUUCAUUCUUCUUUGAUUUCUUCUUAAUCUAUGAUUUCUCUUUUCAUUUUCUUUCUUCAUGAUUAUCGAACAACACAAUUUCAGUAACCAAAUGACAAACAUUGGCGGCUUAAUCUGAAGUAACACAGUGAUAGCGCAUCAGUUGUCGAUGCGUGACAGAUCCGACAUAGAAUUAUGGGGUUUUAUUAAAUUUAGGAUUCGUCUUGUUCUUUUAUCUUUUAGUGUUUUGUAUUUACAUGUUUUUUCUUUGAUUUCAACUACCGAUCUAGAAUUAGGGCUACAUUUCUAUUCCUUAUCAAUUUUAGAUCUAUGAAUUAGGGUUGCGUUUUUAUUCCUUCUAAAUUUUAGAUCUAUGAAUUUUGUAUUUGAUAUAUCUUUAUAUUUGGUGGUUUUCUAUUUGGAUCUAUGAUUCUGGAUCUAUGGUCUUUUAUAUUUUUACCUGCAUAACUGAAAUGUAGUAGAUUUAGUAAAACUUGAGAUAAAUACUGAGACCUCAGUAAAACUAGUAGAACUCGGGAUAACCACAAUAUAACUAUUUUAGCAGAACUAGUAGAACUCAGAAGAACUACAUCAGUAGAACUCGGAAUAACUACGUCAAUAGAACUAGUAGAAUUCGAAAUAACUAUAUCAAUAGAACUAGUAAUAUACGGUACAACUAUCUCAGUAAAACUAGUAGAACCCAGUACAACUAACUCAGUAAAACUAGUAGAACUCGGUACAACUACCUAAGUAGAACUGAUAGAACUCAAUACAACUACCUCGGUAUAAUUAGCUGACCAAUUGUACGUCAGUAAUUAAAAUUUGAAAUUAAAAAAAUUGAAAUGAUCAAGGGCAUUGAGAUUACUGAAGGAUAUAGUGGAUUUAUUGUUUUGGUAAUGAGGAUAUAUGAGAUGAUGGCUCAGGCAUAAUAUGCCACAUCAACAGCCAUCUGAUUCGUCUAUAUAUGGUUUUGAUCCAGAAUCAGCUAUUGUUACAUUUUUCAAUGUAGUAGGGUAAUGAUAUGGAUUCAUCAAUGUAGGUAGGGUAAAAUCUCCCUUAGCCUUGCAGGUGUUUUGAGACAAAAAAACAAGCGGAAGAAUGCUGACACAUGAUCCCAAACCAUGAUAUUUUCAAUAUAUCUGUAUUGGCUCUUAUUUGAAGGCCAAAUAUUAGUAUUAAAGUUUCAUUUGAUGGAUUUUAGACUGCUUUUUACUCCUUCAAUGAAUAAAAUUAACUGAUGCUAUAUACAGGCAUCGAACCCGGGUACUUGUGCAUGUUUUCCAUUAGAAUUCUAACACAAUCUGAAACAGGGAUUUCGAACUCAUAUAAAAUUGCAUUGAAAAGAAAGCAAACGUAUAGUUUUAUAAUUAUGUAGCAAAUUGUAUUAAGUUUUCGAAACAAACAUGUAUUUUGUAUGCGUUGAACACAUGGAAACUGACAUAUCUCGACGACCCUACACAUGUAUUGCAGUAUCUAAUCCUGAGAAAACUACAAUUGGAGUUUUGAACUAAUUGUAAACACUAAAAACAUUUGCCCUUAGGCACAACCAGGGAGUAAAGAGAUUAUUGUCAGCACUCCAAAAGUAUCUAGUGCUGAGAUCAAAUCGGCUCUUCAUUAUCAAAAGAUUUAAGGUGGAUAAAACAACCGGAUCAAGUUUUUAUUUCAAGAAGAAGAAGAAGAAGGAGCUGGAAAUGUGAAAUCAGAAUCAGUUGAUGAAGCUUCCGAGUUCUCAGACCUGUCAGCAAGAUCAUCACGUACAACUGGCGCUGAAGUAACCAACGUUGAAGACAUAGAAGCAGAUCUCAAGAAGGACUUCAGUUGCGAGAAUUGGUCAGACAUAGAAAAUAAACAACCUGGAAACAAGACUUGGCAUCAGAAAAUGUACUGCAGUAUGGUUUUAUUUACUGUCUCUUUCUUUUUGUCAGCCUACACCCAUGAUUUUAUAUCAAUACAUCUUCCUCUAACGAGUAGAGACAUGUUCUAGUUAUCAAAACAUUUAAAUACUCAAAUAAGCUUGCAGGGACUGGUCUGGAAUACCUGAUUUGACUGUCCCAACUGUUUUUUUGGCAGUUCUUCCUCUGAGUUUACUUUGAUAAACAAGAGAAACUCUUUCCAAUUUCUUGUAGUCAGUUAUAGCACUGUAACCACGCCAGUAAGCCUGCAAGUUUCUUAACAGUUAUUAAUCAUUUCUAUUUUUUGAGA